rnacentral:rRNA from 1 species
UUUUAUAAAUUAAUUUAUUAAAAGUUAUUUUUAAAUUUUAUAAUUUUAAUUUAUUCUUUUAUUUUAUUGGGGGUGAUAGAAAAAUAUGAAAAACUUUUUUUUUUUAUUACAUAAAUAAAUGAUUAAAUGAUCCAUUAAUAAUGAUUAUAAAAAAAAA